GCGCACGAGGCCUUUACUGACGCUAAAGCUCGAAGGUGCGGGUAUCGAACAGGAUUAGAUACCCUGGUAGUCCGCACGGUAAACGAUGGAUGCCCGCUGUUUGCGAUACACUGUGAGCGGCCAAGCGAAAGCGUUAAGCAUCCCACCUGGGGAGUACGCCGGCAACGGUGAAACUCAAAGGAAUUGACGGGGGCCCGCACAAGCGGAGGAACAUGUGGUUUAAUUCGAUGAUACGCGAGGAACCUUACCCGGGCUUGAACUGCCGGCGAACGAUACAGAGAUGUUGAGGCCCUUCGGGGCGCCGGCGGAGGUGCUGCAUGGUUGUCGUCAGCUCGUGCCGUGAGGUGUCGGCUUAAGUGCCAUAACGAGCGCAACCCCUCUCCGUAGUUGCCAUCGGGUGAUGCCGGGCACUCUGCGGACACUGCCACCGUAAGGUGUGAGGAAGGUGGGGAUGACGUCAAAUCAGCACGGCCCUUACGUCCGGGGCUACACACGUUUACAAUGGGUGGUACAGAGGGCAGGCGUCCGGCAACGUCCGUCUAAUCCCGAAAGCCAUCCUCAGUUCGGACUGGGGUCUGCAACCCGACCCCACGAAGCUGG
rnacentral:rRNA from 1 species